CUCCAGACUCCUACGGGAGGCAGCAGUGGGGAAUAUUGCACAAUGGGGGGAACCCUGAUGCAGCAAUGCCGCGUGAAGGAUGAAGGUUUUCGGAUUGUAAACUUCUUUUGUACGGGACGAAGAAAGUGACGGUACCGUAAGAAUAAGCCACGGCUAACUACGUGCCAGCAGCCGCGGUAAUACGUAGGUGGCAAGCGUUAUCCGGAAUGAUUGGGCGUAAAGGGUGCGCAGGCGGAACCAUAAGUCUGAAGUAAAAGCCAUCGGCUCAACCGAUGUAAACUUUGGAAACUGUGGAUCUGGAGUGCAGGAGAGGACAGUGGAAUUCCAUGUGUAGCGGUAAAAUGCGUAGAUAUAUGGAGGAACACCAGUGGCGAAGGCGGCUGUCUGGCCUGUAACUGACGCUGAGGCACGAAAGCGUGGGGAGCAAAUAGGAUUAGAUACCCGGGUA
rnacentral:rRNA from 1 species